AAAAUUGGAUUGAUUCAACAAAAGUGCAUGAGUGUGUGCUAUGGGCGCUCUGGAAAAACAAUCAUAAUAGCGAGAAGUUUCAGCUGAGUAAAUUGAACGUUUACAGAAAAUCCUAUUUGCUAUUUAUAUAAAAAACAACCAAUUUUUCUGAAUUCUGCUAUAAAUUCCGUUGUCAAUUGUGAUCAGAUCCAUUAUUUUGUUCCAUUCGUGAAGUUCAUUCCAAUCUUAAAUUUGCCAAUUGAAAAUGGUACUGAAGACAGAGCUGUUUGUCGCAACACUAGUGAUUCUAGUGCUUCUUCAAUGUCUUCCUGCUUAUGGAAAGGGUUGUAGCAACAACCGAUUGAGCGCUGAUAAAUGUACGGGUAAAAGAAUUGGUUCAAAAAGUACUUUCGAAUCGUGUAAAGCCGUUGAUGGAAAAUGCUGCGCAACAAAUCUGGACGGAUCUCGUGCUUUGGGUAUCAACAGAGGAGAUGCAGCCGCCAGCUGUGGAUAUUGUUUCACUGGAAAAUGUAAAGCCUAGUGAAAAAUGGAUAAACAUGAAACCUUACGAUCAUUUUGAGUAAUUAAAAUUCGUUUUUGUUUGAUUUUUUAAAAA